rnacentral:rRNA from 1 species
CCGCCAGACUCCUACGGGAGGCAGCAGUGAGGAAUAUUGGUCAAUGGUCGGGAGACUGAACCAGCCAAGCCGCGUGAGGGAUGAAGUUACAGAGUAUCGUAAACCUCUUUUGUCAGGGAACAAAGGCGGGGACGCGUCCCCGGAUGAGUGUACCUGAAGAAAAAGCAUCGGCUAACUCCGUGCCAGCAGCCGCGGUAAUACGGAGGAUGCGAGCGUUAUCCGGAUUUACUGGGUGUAAAGGGAGCGUAGACGGCGGCGCAAGUCUGAAGUGAAGGCCCGUGGCUCAACCGCGGAACCGCUUUGGAAACUGCGAGGCUGGAGUGCUGGAGAGGUAAGCGGAAUUCCUGGUGUAGCGGUGAAAUGCGUAGAUAUCAGGAGGAACACCGGUGGCGAAGGCGGCUUACUGGACAGUGACUGACGUUGAGGCUCGAAAGCGUGGGGAGCGAACAGGAUUAGAUACCCUUGUAU